rnacentral:lncRNA from 1 species
AGCCCAACUUGGUCACAGUGAGUGAAGGAACAUGGCUCUGAAUCAUGCCUGUCUGUCUCCCCAGGUCUGUGCUUAAAACCACGAAGUUCAAGAUGGAAACUGAAGGGAAGAGUGUCAAGGGGAUGGGAGAGAGGACUUGUCCAUGACUUUGGCAGCAUAAGGAAAAAAUACCCAGGGACAAGUGGCGACUUUGGAAACUCCAUUCCUCUGCAAAAUGACAUCACGAGGAGAGUGGUGGGGCCUGCGGAUGAAAAGAUCUGGCUUCUCCUCCCAACUCUGCUAUGAGGAAGCGCUGGAUGGCCCUGUCGGCCGCGGUCAUCGCCGCCUCGGCCCGGGAGCUCAGCAUUGCAGCCGCACCGGAGGCCUGAAACCGUCUCCUCCGCUACCGCCGCCGCCGCCGCCGGACCGAGGGAUACGACGGUUCCCGAGACAGCGGAACCUGCGGCCGCAGUCCCAGCACCUCGGGGGAACGUAGACCGCAGGACAGCUCCCAGGGGGACCGGAAGUAGCUGCCCCCGGAGAGCAAUAGCUGACGGACCACGUCCUUUCUUUCUUUUCCCUUAGCAACAGGCCCCGGCGUCGGUUGCUACGCUGGGCUCAGUUGCCUGGGGCUGCUUGGUUUUCAGAUUUGCUUAGGCUCCAUUCAUAAAUACAGAUGGCACACUUCUAGGAUGGACCCUGGGUCAUGAUUUGAAUUUUUCGAUGUGGGGAAGGGAGGCCAACAGCCGAAAGUCGGGUCAGGCCUCUGCUAUAAUUAGUUAUUAUUGUGGCCAGAGUGGAAAUAGGUCGCAGAGGAAGGAACUUUAAUGAGCAUGAGGCCCAUCUCUGACGAUAUCAGUAGAGAAAUCAACGUCUUUAAUAGCCAACAAACUUAUUGUUUACUUGGGUGCCAGGUAUAGAGCUAAGUAUGUUACAUUCAUUAUUUACAUUUAAUAUUCACACCAACUCUAACAUUACCCACAUUUUACAUCCCAGGGAACCCAGGAAAUUUGAAGAAAUAGUAAGUUUUUUGACGCAGCUUGUAAGUGGUGAAACAGAGAUUGGCAGUUCGGUCUGUCUGUCUCCAGAAUGGCACUCUCCAACAGAAAUAUACAGGAGCCACAUAGGUAAUUUUACAUUUUCCAGUAGCCACAUUAAAGUGAAAAGCAGGAGGUAGGCCAGACGCCGUGGCUCACGCCUGUAAUCCCAGCACUUUGGGAGAACGAGGCUGGUGGAUCACCUGAGGUCAAGAGUU